UAUAUCAGCAAGUUGCUUAACCUCUCUGAGCUCCAGUUUCCUGCACUGUAAAAUGGGGAAUCAUAAUAUCCAUCAAUCUCCUUAUAAGAUUGGAAAGAUAAAGAAACUAUAUGUAAAAUUCUUAGCACAAUGUUCGAUCCAUGUGCAUGCUCAAUAAGUGGUUAUUCCUCAAAUUAGUUUCAUUUGUAUUGGGAUAAAUCAUUGUUCCCUCCCAUAGGUACAUUUUCUAUUUAACCAGUUGCCAGUUCUCAGAAUCUUCUCCUGCCCCCCACACCACACAGGCUGCAGAUUGUAGGGAUAGAUGACAGAGGAUGGGAGGCUCAUCUCACUCUCUAUUUCAAUACGUUCUACUUCAACAGCAGGGCUUGUUUUUAUUACCUUAUUGAGUUCACAUGGGUAGCUUUUGGCAGCAGCAAUUAUUCUCCUUAUUACUCUACAGAUGAAGAAAUAGAUUUGGCUCUGAUAUGUUGGAUUUUCUCAAGCAAGUCCCAUAUCGAAAAUAAAAGCGUUUAAUUCUAAUCAGAGACAGCCGGGAAAAAAAGAAAAAAAAAAAAAACCUCCUGGCUUCCUGCCUCUUGAAAGCCUCUCCUUCAAAAUGUUUUGAGGACCUGCAAUGUGCCAGGAAUAUUACAGCAAAUGAGUCUUCUUUGGUGGUCCAGCCACACCAGCCCUUAUACUUCACAGCGUGAGUGAUAUAAACAUGAAGGCCAGGUGCGGCGGCUUACACCCGUAAUCCCAGCACUUUGGGAAGAGUGAAGUGGAGGAAGAGGUACAUUCAACUACAGAGGAGGAAACUGAGGCCCAGAGGGGAAAAGUGACUUGAUUGACAAAAAUUGGAUUCUGGUCUUUGUUCUGCCAAAGCCACUAAAUCUGUGUUGCUGAGUCUGCUGUUUGCAUGCAGGAAUGUGAAGGACUGCUCAAGUUGGAGAUACAAAUUGAAGCCAGCCCCAGUUCAAAACUGUUACAAAUGGAGUCUGUAGGCAUGAGGGGCUGACUAUAUAACUCAGAGUUCUCCAGUACUUUACUUUAAUAAAGAACACAAUCUUUAUUAAAGGAUAAGUAAUAAAAAUGUGUUGAUGUGCAACUUAUGGAUCUAUUAUUAAAACUCAACAGUCAUUGCAGCAAUGUUUAGAACUUAAGCAAACAAAAGUUUUGUGAGGGGGCAAUUUUAUCAAUGACAUUGUUUAGAAAUGUUGGUAGAUGGUGAUCAUAAAAAGCAGAUCAAUGUUUUAUUUCA
rnacentral:lncRNA from 1 species